UACAGAGGGUGCGAGCGUUAAUCGGAAUUACUGGGCGUAAAGGGUGCGUAGGCGGUUGUUUAAGUCUGUCGUGAAAUUCCCGGGCUCAACCUGGGAAUGGCGAUGGAUACUGGGCAGCUAGAGUGUGUCAGAGGAUGGUGGAAUUCCCGGUGUAGCGGUGAAAUGCGUAGAGAUCGGGAGGAACAUCAGUGGCGAAGGCGGCCAUCUGGGACAACACUGACGCUGAAGCACGAAAGCGUGGGGAGCAAACAGG
rnacentral:rRNA from 1 species